CAGUGGAGUAUGUGGUUUAAUUCGUACGCAACGCGAAGAACCUUACCAGGAUUUGACAUCCACUGACGACGUUAGAGAUAGCGUUUCCCUUCGGGGCAGAGAGACAGGUGGUGCAUGGUUGUCGUCAGCUCGUGUCGUGAGAUGUUGGGUUAAGUCCCGCAACGAGCGCAACCCUUGUCUCUAGUUACCAUCAUUUGGUUGGGGACUCUAGAGAUACUGCCAAGGUUAACUUGGAGGAAGGUGGAGAUGACGUCAAGUCCUCAUGGCCUUUAUGCUUAGGGCUACACACGUGCUACAAUGGGUGGUACAAAGAGAAGCCAACUCGCGAGAGCGCGCCAAUCUCAAAAAGCCAUCCUCAGUUCGGAUUGGAGUCUGCAACUCGACUCCAUGAAGUUGGAAUCGCUAGUAAUCGCGGAUCAGCAUGCCGCGGUCGAAUACGUUCCCGGGCCUU
rnacentral:rRNA from 1 species